UACGGGAGGCAGCAGUAGGGAAUCUUCCGCAAUGGGCGAAAGCCUGACGGAGCAACGCCGCGUGAGUGAUGAAGGUCUUCGGAUCGUAAAACUCUGUUAUUAGGGAAGAACAAAUGUGUAAGUAACUAUGCACGUCUUGACGGUACCUAAUCAGAAAGCCACGGCUAACUACGUGCCAGCAGCCGCGGUAAUACGUAGGUGGCAAGCGUUAUCCGGAAUUAUUGGGCGUAAAGCGCGCGUAGGCGGUUUUUUAAGUCUGAUGUGAAAGCCCACGGCUCAACCGUGGAGGGUCAUUGGAAACUGGAAAACUUGAGUGCAGAAGAGGAAAGUGGAAUUCCAUGUGUAGCGGUGAAAUGCGCAGAGAUAUGGAGGAACACCAGUGGCGAAGGCGACUUUCUGGUCUGUAACUGACGCUGAUGUGCGAAAGCGUGGGGAUCAAACAGGAUUAGAUACCCUGGUAGUCCACGCCGUAAACGAUGAGUGCUAAGUGUUAGGGGGUUUCCGCCCCUUAGUGCUGCAGCUAACGCAUUAAGCACUCCGCCUGG
rnacentral:rRNA from 1 species